UUGGUGCUGCAGAGCAGGAGGUGCCAGGGCCUGGAGGGGACAUGAGACGCCCUGGCACCGAACUGCGUCUCCAGUGCUGGGGUCGCAUCUGGCUCCCUGCCCUGCAGAGCCCUCUCAAGGGCCCCCCUUCCACUAGCUCCCAGGUUUAUGGUUAAUUACACAGGCAGGACAGACCUGAAUCACUACAGCUACGGUUUUAGAGGCAAGAUUUUUGGAAGGAAAACAGCUAUUAAAGACAAUAAAACAAAGCAAAACAGAACAACCAACUCAGCCAGGUGGGUGACGCAUGCCUGUAAUCCCAGCGCUCUGGGAGCCUGAGGCGGGAGAAUCUCAAAUUUGAGCAACUUAAU
rnacentral:lncRNA from 1 species